GGCUUAACACAUGCAAGUCGAGGGGCAGCAUUUCAGUUUGCUUGCAAACUGGAGAUGGCGACCGGCGCACGGGUGAGUAACACGUAUCCAACCUGCCGAUAACUCGGGGAUAGCCUUUCGAAAGAAAGAUUAAUACCCGAUGGUAUAAUCAGACCGCAUGGUCUUGUUAUUAAAGAAUUUCGGUUAUCGAUGGGGAUGCGUUCCAUUAGGCAGUUGGUGAGGUAACGGCUCACCAAACCUUCGAUGGAUAGGGGUUCUGAGAGGAAGGUCCCCCACAUUGGAACUGAGACACGGUCCAAACUCCUACGGGAGGCAGCAGUGAGGAAUAUUGGUCAAUGGGCGCAGGCCUGAACCAGCCAAGUAGCGUGAAGGAUGACUGCCCUAUGGGUUGUAAACUUCUUUUAUAUGGGAAUAAAGUUUUCCACGUGUGGAAUUUUGUAUGUACCAUAUGAAUAAGGAUCGGCUAACUCCGUGCCAGCAGCCGCGGUAAUACGGAGGAUCCGAGCGUUAUCCGGAUUUAUUGGGUUUAAAGGGAGCGUAGGUGGACAGUUAAGUCAGUUGUGAAAGUUUGCGGCUCAACCGUAAAAUUGCAGUUGAUACUGGCUGUCUUGAGUACAGUAGAGGUGGGCGGAAUUCGUGGUGUAGCGGUGAAAUGCUUAGAUAUCACGAAGAACUCCGAUUGCGAAGGCAGCUCACUGGACUGCAACUGACACUGAUGCUCGAAAGUGUGGGUAUCAAACAGGAUUAGAUACCCUGGUAGUCCACACAGUAAACGAUGAAUACUCGCUGUUUGCGAUAUACAGUAAGCGGCCAAGCGAAAGCAUUAAGUAUUCCACCUGGGGAGUACGCCGGCAACGGUGAAACUCAAAGGAAUUGACGGGGGCCCGCACAAGCGGAGGAACAUGUGGUUUAAUUCGAUGAUACGCGAGGAACCUUACCCGGGCUUAAAUUGCAUUUGAAUAUAUUGGAAACAGUAUAGCCGUAAGGCAAAUGUGAAGGUGCUGCAUGGUUGUCGUCAGCUCGUGCCGUGAGGUGUCGGCUUAAGUGCCAUAACGAGCGCAACCCUUAUCUUUAGUUACUAACAGGUCAUGCUGAGGACUCUAGAGAGACUGCCGUCGUAAGAUGUGAGGAAGGUGGGGAUGACGUCAAAUCAGCACGGCCCUUACGUCCGGGGCUACACACGUGUUACAAUGGGGGGUACAGAAGGCAGCUACCUGGUGACAGGAUGCUAAUCCCAAAAGCCUCUCUCAGUUCGGAUCGAAGUCUGCAACCCGACUUCGUGAAGCUGGAUUCGCUAGUAAUCGCGCAUCAGCCAUGGCGCGGUGAAUACGUUCCCGGGCCUUGUACACACCGCCCGUCAAGCCAUGAAAGCCGGGGGUACCUGAAGUACGUAACCGCAAGGAGCGUCCUAGGGUAAAACUGGUAAUUGGGGCUAAAU
rnacentral:rRNA from 1 species